rnacentral:rRNA from 1 species
AUGGAAGAGGAGGACAUGGACGAUCGUUGCGGUAAGGGAUGCAAAACGGACACCAUACGUGACAGCAAAGAAAGUGCUGAGGUACAGAGGACCAUUCUUCUCGUAGGCCUUGGUGUCAAAAUGGAACUGGGAGUCCACGAUGCUCCUGAUGUUGUACUUGUGCCCGGACUCAGUGAAGAGCCCAUGAGAGAAGAUGGGAAAGUUCCGAGCCUUGUACAAGUUGAACCAGUACGCGAUGGGCAUGAUCACGUACAUGAUGAUGAAGAAUCCUGCGGCGACGUUGGCGGUGGCGAACCAGGGGCUGGCGAGGGGGCUCCCGAGGUAAGAGGAGACAGAGGCCCAGUCGAGGCCGAUGGAGCCGAUGCCGAGGCCGUGGAGGCCCGAGCCGAGCUGCUGGGCCAACACGGAGUUGGGGAAGACCCAGCAGAUCCAGGAGAGGGAGGUGAGCAUCUGGAACAGGUAGCCGGGGAAGAUGUAGUAGACGAAGCUGCAGACAAAGGCCACCAGGAAGAACUGGCUGCGCGUGAAGCCGCCUUUGCUCCGCACCUCCUUCUCGUGGAGCGCCCUGCUCGGAAUUCCAGGGGUCAUUUCAGAGAAUGA